GCUUGUCUCAAAGAUUAAGCCAUGCAUGUCUAAGUAUAAGCAAUUAUACAGCGAAACUGCGAAUGGCUCAUUAAAUCAGUUAUCGUUUAUUUGAUGGUGCCUUACUACAUGGAUAACCGUGGUAAUUCUAGAGCUAAUACAUGCUAAAAACCCCGACUUCGGAAGGGGUGUGUUUAUUAGAUUAAAAACCAAUGCCCUUCGGGGCUCCCUGGUGAUUCAUGAUAACCUCUCGAACCGCAUGGCCUUGCGCCGGCGGUGGUUCAUUCAAAUUUCUGCCCUAUCAACUUUCGAUGGCUGGGUCUUGGCCAGCCAUGGUGACAACGGGUAACGGAGGGUUAGGGCUCGACCCCGGAGAAGAAGCAUGAGAAUCGGCUUCUACAUCCAAGGAAGGCAGCAGG
rnacentral:rRNA from 1 species